UUUCUCGUCAGCCAGCAAAUGUCCCCCUGUUUAUUUUGUUGGGCGUUCGCCGGAAUCCGCUUAAGUGCGCAGGGAAAUCCAACGGAAAGGAGUGAAAUGCCAAGAUAGCAGCUGAUUACCAAAGUCACCCGGAAAAGUAGCGGCCGAGUUUUUCUAUCCCUCGAAGAUGCGAUAUCCUCCCGGAGCUUUGCUCCGUCGCAGGAAAACUGAAUGGAUGGAAAUCAUGCCACCGGAACUGAUGGCUCCCACACCCCUUGGGGCCCGUAUUUUCAAAAAUCUGUUAGGGUAUUUUGAACAUUAAAUCAACAGUGACGUUGUGAAAGACAAGAUCGUCUUGGAUCCGGAAACGCUCAACACUCGGCCAUUUCAUUCCAGCGCUGCUUAGGAGCACUAUGCUACAGCAGUAGCAAUGUCCUGCAAAGAUAUUGGAUCCGACUAAGCAGAUUCUGAAAAAUAUUACCAAUACUGCAGAAAUUG